rnacentral:rRNA from 2 species
GAACGGGUGAGUAACACGUGGGCAAUCUGCCCUUCACUCUGGGACAAGCCCUGGAAACGGGGUCUAAUACCGGAUAAUACUUUCCUCCUCCUGGAGGAAGGUUGAAAGCUCCGGCGGUGAAGGAUGAGCCCGCGGCCUAUCAGCUAGUUGGUGGGGUAAUGGCCUACCAAGGCGACGACGGGUAGCCGGCCUGAGAGGGCGACCGGCCACACUGGGACUGAGACACGGCCCAGACUCCUACGGGAGGCAGCAGUGGGGAAUAUUGCACAAUGGGCGAAAGCCUGAUGCAGCGACGCCGCGUGAGGGAUGACGGCCUUCGGGUUGUAAACCUCUUUCAGCAGGGAAGAAGCGAAAGUGACGGUACCUGCAGAAGAAGCGCCGGCUAACUACGUGCCAGCAGCCGCGGUAAUACGUAGGGCGCAAGCGUUGUCCGGAAUUAUUGGGCGUAAAGAGCUCGUAGGCGGCUUGUCACGUCGGUUGUGAAAGCCCGGGGCUUAACCCCGGGUCUGCAGUCGAUACGGGCAGGCUAGAGUGUGGUAGGGGAGAUCGGAAUUCCUGGUGUAGCGGUGAAAUGCGCAGAUAUCAGGAGGAACACCGGUGGCGAAGGCGGAUCUCUGGGCCAUUACUGACGCUGAGGAGCGAAA